rnacentral:rRNA from 1 species
AGUGAACGCUGGCGGUAGGCCUAACACAUGCAAGUCGAACGGCAGCACAGUAAGAGCUUGCUCUUACGGGUGGCGAGUGGCGGACGGGUGAGGAAUACAUCGGAAUCUACUUUUUCGUGGGGGAUAACGUAGGGAAACUUACGCUAAUACCGCAUACGACCUACGGGUGAAAGCAGGGGAUCUUCGGACCUUGCGCGAUUGAAUGAGCCGAUGUCGGAUUAGCUAGUUGGCGGGGUAAAGGCCCACCAAGGCGACGAUCCGUAGCUGGUCUGAGAGGAUGAUCAGCCACACUAGAACUGAGACACGGUCCAGACUACUACGGGAGGCAGCAGUGGGGAAUAUUGGACAAUGGGCGCAAGCCUGAUCCAGCCAGACCGCGUGUGUGAAGAAGGCCUUCGGGUUGUAAAGCCCUUUUGUUGGGAAAGAAAAGCAGCAGGUUAAGACCCCGCUGUUCUGACGGUACCCAAAGAAUAAGCACCGGCUAACUUCGUG